UGAGGAAUAUUGGUCAAUGGGCGAGAGCCUGAACCAGCCAAGGAGCGUGCAGGAUGACGGCCCUAUGGGUUGUAAACUGCUUUUAUAUGGGAAUAAAGUGAGGGACGUGUCCCUUAUUGCAUGUACCAUACGAAUAAGGACCGGCUAAUUCCGUGCCAGCAGCCGCGGUAAUACGGAAGGUCCAGGCGUUAUCCGGAUUUAUUGGGUUUAAAGGGAGCGUAGGCUGUUUGUUAAGCGUGUUGUGAAAUGUAAGAGCUCAACUUUUAGAUUGCAGCGCGAACUGGCAGACUUGAGUGCGCACAACGUAGGCGGAAUUCAUGGUGUGGCGGUGAAAUGCUUAGAUAUCAUGACGAACUCCGAUUGCGAAGGCAGCUUACGGGAGCGCAACUGACGCUAAAGCUCGAAGGUGCGGGUAUCGAACAGG
rnacentral:rRNA from 1 species